rnacentral:rRNA from 1 species
ACAGGGAUUGCCCUAGUAACGGCGAGUGAAGCGGCAACAGCUCAAAUUUGAAAUCUGGCUCUUUCAGAGUCCGAGUUGUAAUUUGCAGAGGGCGCUUUGGCUUUGGCAGCGGUCCAAGUUCCUUGGAACAGGACGUCACAGAGGGUGAGAAUCCCGUACGUGGUCGCUAGCUAUUGCCGUGUAAAGCCCCUUCGACGAGUCGAGUUGUUUGGGAAUGCAGCUCUAAAUGGGAGGUAAAUUUCUUCUAAAGCUAAAUAUUGGCCAGAGACCGAUAGCGCACAAGUAGAGUGAUCGAAAGAUGAAAAGCACUUUGGAAAGAGAGUCAAACAGCACGUGAAAUUGUUGAAAGGGAAGCGCUUGCAGCCAGACUUGCUUGCAGUUGCUCAUCCGGGCUUUUGCCCGGUGCACUCUUCUGCAGGCAGGCCAGCAUCAGUUUGGGCGGUGGGAUAAAGGUCUCUGACACGUUCCUUCCUUCGGGUUGGCCAUAUAGGGGAGACGUCAUACCACCAGCCUGGACUGAGGUCCGCGCAUCUGCUAGGAUGCUGGCGUAAUGGCUGUAAGCGGCCCGUCUUGAAACACGGACCAAGGAGUCUAACAUCUAUGCGAGUGUUUGGGUGUCAAGCCCGAGCGCGUAAUGAAAGUGAACGGAGGUGGGAACCCGCAAGGGCGCACCAUCGACCGAUCCUGAAGUUUACGGAAGGAUUUGAGUAAGAGCAUGGCUGUUGGGACCCGAAAGAUGGUGAACUAUGCUUGAAUAGGGUGAAGCCAGAGGAAACUCUGGUGGAGGCUCGCAGCGGUUCUGACGUGCAAAUCGAUCGUCAAAUUUGGGCAUAGGGGCGAAAGACUAAUCGAACUAUCUAGUAGCUGGUCUGGC